AUUGGGGGCUGUCGUGUUAUCGCUGCU
rnacentral:tRNA from 1 species